GUAACCCAGUUCAGAAUAACCAUAUCUACAUCUGAGGGCACCACAAAAAUAGUAGCCCAAUUCUUCAUUCAUAAUCAAUCUCAACGUUUUACCAAAACACAAUGAUAUGAGUGAAGAACUCCAAUCUCCAUGGCUAAUCUAUCACUU